rnacentral:rRNA from 1 species
CCACUCAUUUAAAGAGUGCGUAAUAGCUCACUGGUCGAGUGAUCCUGCGCCGAAAAUUUCCGGGGCUAAAACGUACUACCGAAGCUACGGCAUCAUUUAUGAUGGGUAGGAGAGCUUUCUAUAUGGAUUGAAGCAUUACCGUAAGGAGAUGUGGACUGUAUAGAAGUGAGAAUGUUGGCAUGAGUAGCGAGAUGUGGGUGAGAAUCCCACAGGCCGUAAACCCAAGGUUUCCAGGGGAAGGUUCGUCCGCCCUGGGUUAGUCAGGACCUAAGCCGAGGCCGAAAGGCGUAGGUGAUGGACAACAGGUUGAUAUUCCUGUACCACCAAUAACCGUUUGAGAAAUGGGAUGACACAGUAGGAUAAGCUAACCGCACUGUUGGUUAUGUGCGGGCAAGUAUUGAGGCAGUUCAGGUAGGCAAAUCCGCCUGAAUAAUGCUGGRGUACGAUGCGGAGCGAAAUUUAGUAGCGAAGUAGCUGAUUUCACACUGUCGAGAAAAGUCUCUAUCGAGGUUAAAGGUGCCUGUACCGCAAACCGACACAGGUGGGUGAGGAGAGUAUCCUAAGGCCAGCCAGAGAACUGUUGUUAAGGAACUCGGCAAAAUGACCCCGUAACUUAGGGAGAAGGGGUGCCAUGGAAACAUGGCCGCAGAGAAUAGGCCCAAGCGACUGUUUACCAAAAACAUAGGUUUCUGCUAAGUCGCAAGACGAUGUAUAGGAGCUGACGCCUGCCCGGUGCUGGAAGGUUAAGGGGAUCUGUUAGGGUAACCGAAGCAGUGAACUUAAGCCCCAGUAAACGGCGGCC